rnacentral:rRNA from 1 species
CCUGCCCUGUGACAAUGUUUAACGGCCGCGGUAUUUUGACCGUGCGAAGGUAGCGUAAUCACUUGUCUUUUAAAUGAAGACCUGUAUGAAAGGCAUCACGAGAGUUUAACUGUCUCUAUUUCCUAAUCAAUGAAAUUGAUCUUCUCGUGCAGAAGCGAGAAUAUUACCAUUAGACGAGAAGACCCUAUGGAGCUUCAAACACUUAGGUUAAUUAUGUAAAAUUAUAAUCCUUAGGGAAAAAUCAUUUAUACGAUACUCCUAAUUUAACUGUUUUUGGUUGGGGUGACCGAGGGGGAGAAAAAAUCCCCCUUAUCGACUGAGUACUAAAGUACUUAAAAAUUAGAACGACAGUUCUGAUUAAUAAAACAUUUACCGAAAAAUGACCCAGAUUUUUUCUGAUCAAUGAACCAAGUUACCCUAGGGAUAACAGCGCAAUCCUCUCCCAGAGUCCCUAUCGCCGAAAGGGUUUACGACCUCGAUGUUGGAUCAGGACAUCCUAAU